rnacentral:rRNA from 1 species
GAUGAACGCUAGCGGGAGGCCUAACACAUGCAAGCCGAGCGGUAGAGAUUCUUCGGGAUCUUGAGAGCGGCGUACGGGUGCGGAACACGUGUGCAACCUACCUUUAUCAGGGGGAUAGCCUUUUCGAAAGGAAGAUUAAUACCCCAUAAUAUAUUGAAUGGCAUCAUUUAAUAUUGAAAACUCCGGUGGAUAGAGAUGGGCACGCGCAAGAUUAGAUAGUUGGUAGGUAACGGCCUACCAAGUCAGUGAUCUUUAGGGGCCUGAGAGGGUGAUCCCCCACACUGGUACUGAGACACGGACCAG